GUCCAGGAAUACUCAAUGAUCAGUUAGGCAAAGUUCCUGCCUUGGAUGUCACAAUCUAGUCAGAGGGAGAGACACAGAGAGGCCAUCAUAAUAUGAGCUUCAUUCAUAAUUAUCAAAAAUUGGAAUCAGCCCAGUUGGCCUUCAGCAGGAGAAUGAUUAAAUACAAUGUGGCACAUCCCCACUAUGGACCACUAGUCAGCAAGAAGAAGGCUGAACUAUUGAUCGCUAUGUCUAACAACUUGGAUGAGUCUCUUGGGAAUUAUGCUCGCUGAAAAAAGGUCAGCUGGGGGUUCUGAUCCAUGCCAUCGUCACUCUGGGAUCCGGACUCCACCAUCUGAAAUGUCAUCAGUCACCAAGGCAGAGAGAAGGUGGUUGCUCCCUCCUCAUUCCCUUCAUGGUGCUUUUCUCUCCAUCUCUUCCUGAGACCCAAGCCCCUGUCUGGAAGGCAUGCUCCAGCAGUUCCAGGGAUGAGAACCUGGGUCUGGAAAGAGAAACUGGCACAGUUGAGAAGCCUCUACUAGGAGAGGCUGCCUUUCCCAGGGGCUGAAGUCUACGGCAUCCUGCUCUGGAAGCUGAGGAGUUACACUGGGGUGGGAGAUGGGGGCAUCUCUCUCCUCGCCUACGUCUUAAACCACCCAAGUAGCUGUCCUGAGAAGCCAAGCACAGAACCACAAACAUAGCUCCAGAGCAAGAGGGAGAGGAGUGGGGGGAAAAGGGAGAGAGGGACUUAAGCCCAGCACGGAGCCUGACAUGAGCUCCAUCUCACAAUCACGACCCAAGUCAACUGCUCAAGCAGUGGAGCCACCCCAGUGCCCUGGAACCACCAACGUCUAAAUCUUCCCCUCCUGGUUACUACGCACUUGAGUAGAUCCACGGCCCAGAUCUAUAGCUGCACCCCCAGAAGGGGGACUGUGCUUCAUGCUCCACCUCAGCACGAACACAGGCUACGUAGGGAAUAAACAUACAGUGAGAGUCCGUGGCAAGGAAGGAUGACCACAGAAGGAGAAUGAAUGGGUGAGAGGGUGUGGUCCCUCCCCUCAGUGACGAGAGCCAAAUACAACUUUGGCACUUCUCCGGACUUGAACUUCCUGUCCAUGAAAUGGAGGUGGUUAUUCCCCAGGCCAUAUCCUAGAGCAACUGCAAAAAUCAGAGACAAGGGGGCUUCAUGACUACAGGCUAUGGACGUAGCUCCUGCCUCCUCUCCUAGUCCCCGAGAUUUUAAGUCCUUGAAAGCCACAAACUCAAGUAAUUCAUCUUGAGUGAUAAAAACUCCUCAUUCAGGCAGCUUUGCAAAGAUGCAAUUGCUUACAAACGCUAAUAAGAUCACCUAAGUCAUCACAUACAGGUAGUAGCUAUAGGCACAUGUAUGAUCCUGCUUCUAGCCAGGUUAGGAAACAAGUCUACCUUCAGAGACUUCUGAGCUCUGACCACCCUUAUCCAGGAGGCUUCCCCUCCCAUGUUCUGUAAUCGUUGAAACCUUGUUUGUGUACUUUUGCAGCCUCUUUCUUAACCAGGUAACUAGAAAGGUUUGGGUAACCGCUGGCUUUUCUUCCUGCCCAAGGAGGGUAUUUCCAGUUCCAUGAGGCUCUCCCAGAGUCUCCCAGGAGCCCUGGCCUUUGUGGGACCCUGUGGCCUAGAAUCACAGAGAAGCAUUUAACUCUGGACAGAAAACCGGGUCUUGAGCCUUUUGCUUUCCAUGGGACCGACCUCCUUUUCUUUCUUUCUUUCUUUUUGUUUUUUAAAGAUUUAUUUAUUCAUUUGAAAAAGAGAAAAAAAAAAAAAACAGGAGGAAGGGUAGAGGGAGAGAAGCAGACUCCCUGCUAGGCACAGUCCUGACGUGGGGUUCGAUCUCAGGACCCCAAGAUCAUCACCUGAGCCAAAAUCAAGAGUUGGCCACUUAUCCAACUGAGCCACCCAGGCGCCCCUCUGUGGGACCCUUCUAACUUCAACUUCCAUAGCUGCAAAAGUAAGUAAUAAUGCCUUUCUUAUCUCACAGGGCUUUUCUGAGGAUCACCAGGGAUGGUGUACACGAGCAUAUUUUGUAAACUGUAAAGCAGUAUGUGACUGUAUUACCGUUGGUACGACUGCUGCUACUGUCAGAACUCUCAGAUCCUACAAGCUAGCCCUGGAGGCUUGCAGAUGUCCUCUGGGAUUCCUGGGCCCCUGCCCUCUCCUUUCUCCACCAUUCCUUCAGGUAGAACGUGGGGCUAAAAACCUUUUGAGAACCCUUGAUCCACUGGGAAUAUAACCAAGGAGUGCAUAAAUUAGAAUCACCUCAAUUUCAGGAGGCCUGGAUGCCUCCGCAGUUGGACAUCUGCCUUCAGCUCAGGUCGUGAUCCCCGGGUUCAGAGAUCGAGUCCCACAUUGGGCUCCCUGCAUGGAGCUGCUUCUCCCUCUGCCUGUGUCUCUGCCUCUC